rnacentral:rRNA from 1 species
AUGGAGUCCGUGCGACUUCUCCUUGCGCUGGCUGCCCAGGAGGGCUGGCGUGUCCACCACAUGGACGUUAAGUCGGCAUUCCUCAACGGCGACUUGAAGGAGGAAGUCUACGUGCAUCAGCCACCUGGGUUUACGAUUCCCGGCCAGGAGGGCAAGGUGCUCCGCCUGCGCAAGGCUCUCUAUGGCCUGCGGCAGGCACCCAGGGCGUGGAACGCCAAGCUGGACUCCACGCUGAAGAAGAUGGGUUUCGAGCAGAGCCCGCAUGAGGUUGCCGUCUACCGACGGGGGAGUGGAGGAAAUGCCCUGCUGGUGGGCGUCUACGUUGACGACCUGGUGAUCACCGGCACCAAAGGUGCAGAGGUGGCGGCGUUCAAGGAAGACAUGAAGGCCACGUUCCAGAUGAGUGACCUGGGGCUCCUAUCCUUCUAUCUAGGGAUUGAGCUCACUCCGAUGGAGGAGAGGCUGAAACUGAGCCGCGACAGCACGACGGAGGAAGUGGAUGCUACGCAGUACCGACGCCUUGUGGGGAGCCUUCGCUACCUCACUCACACACGGCCGGACUUGGCAUUCUCCGUCGGCUAUGUCAGUCGGUUCAUGGAGCGACCAAUGUCGGAACACCAGCAGGCAGUGAAGAGGAUCGUCCGCUACAUAGCAGGGACCCUCGACCACGGCCUCCACUACCCUAGGUGUCCUGGGGCGGCACACUUCGUCGGGUACAGCGACAGCGACCACGUCGGCGACAUCGACACCAGCAAGAGCACGAGCGGGAUCCUCCUCUUCCUCGGCAAGUGUCUCGUGAGCUGGCAAUCAGUCAAGCAGCAGGUGGUGGCCCUGUCCAGCUGUGAGGCUGAGUACAUAGCGGCCUCCACCGCCUGUACUCAGGCGCUCUGGCUUGCUCGACUGCUUGGUGAUCUUCUCGUUCAAGACACCAGAACGGUGCAGCUCCUGGUGGACAGCAAGUCCGCCCUGGCCCUGGCAAAGAACCCCGUGUUCCAUGAACGGAGCAAGCACAUCCGACUGAGGUAUCACUUCAUCCGCAGCUGUGUGGAAGAAGGGAGCAUCGAGGCGAGCUACAUCAACACCAAGGAUCAGCUCGCAGACCUGCUCACCAAGCCCCUUGGGAGGGUCAAGUUCCUCGAACUUUGCUCCAGGAUUGGGAUGAUUCAACUCUCCCACAAGACGACGUACAAGACUUAG